rnacentral:rRNA from 1 species
GAGUUUGAUCCUGGCUCAGACUUUACGCUGGCGGCAGGCCUAACACAUGCAAGUCGAACGGCAGCACAGUAAGAGCUUGCUCUUAUGGGUGGCGAGUGGCGGACGGGUGAGGAAUACAUCGGAAUCUACUCUUUCGUGGGGGAUAACGUAGGGAAACUUACGCUAAUACCGCAUACGACCUACGGGUGAAAGCGGAGGACCUUCGGGCUUCGCGCGAUUGAAUGAGCCGAUGUCGGAUUAGCUAGUUGGCGGGGUAAAGGCCCACCAAGGCGACGAUCCGUAGCUGGUCUGAGAGGAUGAUCAGCCACACUGGAACUGAGACACGGUCCAGACUCCUACGGGAGGCAGCAGUGGGGAAUAUUGGACAAUGGGCGCAAGCCUGAUCCAGCCAUGCCGCGUGGGUGAAGAAGGCCUUCGGGUUGUAAAGCCCUUUUGUUGGGAAAGAAAAGCAGUCGGUUAAUACCCGAUUGUUCUGACGGUACCCAAAGAAUAAGCACCGGCUAACUUCGUGCCAGCAGCCGCGGUAAUACGAAGGGUGCAAGCGUUACUCGGAAUUACUGGCCGUAAAGCGUGCGUAGGUGGUGGUUUAAGUCUGUUGCGAAAGCCCUGGGCUCAACCUGGGAAUUGCAGUGGAUACUGGGUCACUAGAGUGUGGUAGAGGGUAGCGGAAUUCCCGGUGUAGCAGUGAAAUGCGUAGAGAUCGGGAGGAACAUCCGUGGCGGAGGCGGCUACCUGGACCAACACUGACACUGAGGCACGAAAGCGUGGGGAGCAAACAGGAUUAGAUACCCUGGUAGUCCACGCCCUAAACGAUGCGAACUGGAUGUUGGGUGCAAUUUUGCCACGCAGUAUCGAAGCUAACGCGUUAAGUUCCGCCGCCUGGAGAGUACGGUCGCAAGACUGAAACUCAAAGGAAUUGACGGGGCUCUGCACAAGCGGGUGGAGUAUGUGGUUUCACUCGAUGCAACGCGAGGCAACCUAACCUGGUCUUGACAUCCACGCACUUUCCAGAGAUGGAUUGCGUGCCUUCAGGAACCGGUGAGUACUGUUGCUGCAUGCCUGAUCAUCAGCUCAUGUACCUGAGAUGUUUGGUUAGUCCCCGCAAUGGAGUCACAACCCUUGUACCUUUAGUUUGCCACGACCCUAAUUGG